rnacentral:rRNA from 1 species
UUGAACGCUGGCGGCAGGCCUAACACCUGCAAGUCGAACGGUAACAGGAAGAAGCUUGCUUCUUUGCUGACGAGUGGCGGACGGGUGAGUAAUGUCUGGGAAACUGCCUGAUGGAGGGGGAUAACUACUGGAAACGGUAGCUAAUACCGCAUAACGUCGCAAGACCAAAGAGGGGGACCUUCGGGCCUCUUGCCAUCGGAUGUGCCCAGAUGGGAUUAGCUAGUAGGUGGGGUAACGGCUCACCUAGGCGACGAUCCCUAGCUGGUCUGAGAGGAUGACCAGCCACACUGGAACUGAGACACGGUCCAGACUCCUACGGGAGGCAGCAGUGGGGAAUAUUGCACAAUGGGCGCAAGCCUGAUGCAGCCAUGCCGCGUGUAUGAAGAAGGCCUUCGGGUUGUAAAGUACUUUCAGCGGGGAGGAAGGGAGUAAAGUUAAUACCUUGGCUCAUUGACGUUACCCGCAGAAGAAGCACCGGCUAACUCCGUG